rnacentral:misc_RNA from 1 species
AACGAGGCCGACCUGCGGCUGAGUUACCUGCGGAGGGAUCAUUGCAGAAAACAUAUAUAAGUCCUUGGGUUGGGGAUCUGGGGGGGGGGGUGUACUCUUUCUAUGGAGUGUGCUCUCUUUUUCCCUUUCCUUGGGCAAACAACAACAAACAACAUACAUGACUAGGAAACUAGAUUGGAUUGUUGAGAUUUUUGAGAUUUUGACUUGGCAUAAGAGAGGGGUCUAGCAAAAAGUACUUGC